GACGAACGCUGGCGGCGUGCCUAAUACAUGCAAGUCGAACGCAGUGGGGACGGGUGAGUAACACGUGGGUAACCUCCCAUCAGAGGGGAUAACACUUGGAAACAGGUGCUAAACCGAUACUGAUGGAUGGACCCGCGGUGCAUUAGCUAGUUGGUGAGGUAACGGCUCACCAAGGCCACGAUGCAUAGCCGGCCGGAGAGGGUGUAAGGACAAACUGGGACUGAGAAACGGCCCAGAAUCCGACGGGAGGCAGAAGGAGGGAAACUGUGGGAAGGGACGAAAGGCUGACCGGGGAAAGGCGGGUGGGUGAAGAAGGUUUUCGGAUCGUAAAACUCUGUUGUUAGAGAAGCGGUAUCUAACCAGAAAGCCACGGCUAACUACGUGCCAGCAGCCGCGGUAAUAC
rnacentral:rRNA from 1 species